rnacentral:misc_RNA from 1 species
GCCAAAAUGUUCAUAAAGGCCUUAAACUAAAACAAUGAUUCAUAUGCAAUCAAAAUUUGUCCCCGAGUUCGGAAACAAAACUCUCUGAAGAGCUCCUUGUUUGCGCUUGAAAUCCACCUAAAGAUCACACGAAGCACAACAUCUUAUUGAUAAGAACUGAAGGUGCUAUGACAUUGCUUUUUUGCCAUUAUCAUCUCACGAAGGUGUUCGUUAUUUUUUUUCUUCAAAAGAAAGCACAGCUUUAUACAUCAUUUACCGUUUCUUUAUAGAUUAUGGUCAUGUAUAUUUCUCACCCUAAUUGUAUCAUAAUGUACAGGCAUGUAAGCAAAUUUGACUUUAUUGUGAUUUAUACAUAUUUAUAAAUACUAUGGUUUAAGUGGUCAUUUUAUAUUGCUUGAGAUUUGUAUUUAUUAGCGAAAGUGGUAACAAAGCUUUAAUGUUGAGUAUUGAUUUAUUGAUUGAAUUAUAUUUUAAGAUGCCAAUGUUUAAUCUAUUCUCAGAAGUAAACAUUCUUGAAUGCAUCAACAAUCGAAAUAUAAUUGGUACAUGUAUAUGUAUGUAUGGUUUUUCAUUACAAAUUUGUUGCAUUCGCUCUUUGCCAAAAUACCUGAAAUUACAAACGAUCUAAUUUUUGAAGUAGCUUUUAGAAAGUUAGAAAAAUUACCGUCUUUGAAUUACUUUAUAGAUAAGUAUACAAAACAAAAAUCUUAGAUAAUGUAGAAGGUAACGAGAAAAUAGUAUAUUAUGUUCCGUUAUAUAAUAAUUCAAUCAUGCGUCACUGAAAAGAACGAAUCAAAUUAUGUUUGGAAAUUGCUUUGAUUUAAAAAAAAAAGUUAGUACCUUUUUUGUUGUUUGCCUCCAAAUAUUUGUCUUGAUAAGUUACCAUAUUUGACAUUGGUUUGUAGAAUUUAGCAACAGAAAUACUUUUUCUUUGAAAAAAAAGAAGAUUUAAAUGGUUGCAUGAGAUUGGAGUUUAAAUGCCGUUAUUGGUAUAUUUAAUGUCCCUUAAAAUUUCACUGAAGCCAACAUGGGUCUCCGGAUAGUCAUAAAUGUCACUUAACACCUCAAGAAAUGUUUAUACCAAAAUCUAAGACUAAAUGCUGUAUUGAUUUUGAGAUGUAGCCAGAAAGAUAAUCUCGGAUCUAUGCGUGUCACUUUGUUCAGAGUAUGCACACAUUGUAGUUCAAUACUUCACGUAUAUAAAUGAAGUGCAAAUAAUGUAAACUUGUCCGGUGAAUUAGAUCUUUGAGGAACAAAAACAUUUUUUUUAUCAUUACGUCAUGUGAUGUCAUCCUAACAGUCACGUGCUGUUUUCAAGAUUCACAUGAAGAUGUUCGAAAACUGCUUACAAUAUUGAGAAUUCUUGUUCAAGUUUAAUGUAGAGUCUUUUAUAUAACGUUGUUGUUUUAAUGCUAUUCAGAGGAAGCAUUGUAAAGAUUUAAUGUUCUAUCUCAAUGUUACAUGGUAUUGUUUAUUUAUUAUAGCUCACGUUCUUAUUUAUACAUAUUGAUGCAGAUUUCUUCUUUUUAGUGUAACGAGUGAUAUCAUCUUUGUUGCAUAUUUGAUACUGUACAGAUUUCAUAAAUAAACUAAAGUGAAUUAUU